GGCCAAUUGUAGCUCUUCCUCCGUUUCGACUCGAAUCGGCGCGCCGGCCAUUGCUCCCGCAUCGGUGAAAGAGAAAGAAGGAUCUCCUUGAAAUAGGAAUGGUAGGUUUGGGCGAUCCUGCUGUCGUAGAGGUCACACACCCGCUCCCCCCGCCCGCACCUCCCACCACCGCCGCCGGAGGAGAAGAGGAGGGACGGGCCGAAGCCACAGCCUCUUUGAGUUGAACCAGCGCACUCUCUCCCAGUGGUUCUCCCGGAGGCAGAAGGCGUGGGAGAGAGCUGUGCUUCAGCAGGACGUGGUGGGUACCCGCAUCCCUGACAGCGUGAGGAGAAGUACAUCUGCCUAAAGUGCGGACAGCCGAAACAGCGGCAAUUUGGCCAUAGCCGUU